GCAAGGGGAGGCUUAGAGCCUGAAAGAUUUGAGCCAGCAACAAGUCAUUAAGUAGCCUUUCGCCCUCUUCGGAAGCUACAGAUUUUCCUCCCACCACUGGAUGCUUCUCUUGAGGUUCCUUUCUGCCCGAGAUGUGAGUAGAUAGAUACCUCCCUCCAGUUUUCACAAUGGAGAAAGAGAGAAGAUUGAUCACGAGUUUGUUAUAGACUCUUGGUUUGCUGUGUACCGGAGGUAUUUGAUCAUGUAUAACCUGACAAAGGUGUUGGAUAAGUGCAGUGCAGAUGUGCUUCAGUUCAGGCGCAAUGUGGAUGGUGAUGCCAUGCUCAAUGGUGGUCCAUUAGUGAUUAGUGGAUUCCAGGAGUGGAGAUGGCCAGGAUUUAAUUUGAGUGCGUUGGAGAAGGAGCUUCAGAUGCUCAUUCCGUACUUGGCUGAAGACCGUGGUUCACUUAACAACAAGUCCUUAGCCUCUUUCAUAUUCUUCAUAAUCAGAAUUCUUUAACAUGCUCAAUAUAGGAUUCAGUUUGCGACGUUAUAAUUGGAUUGUUUUCUAUAGAGCUUUGGAUACUAUUUUGUACCAGCAAGUUGUAAUUCUAGAACACCGGUGUAUAUGCUUGAAUUACGAACCCAUAAAAACUUGAAUUA